rnacentral:rRNA from 1 species
CAGUCGCCGCGGGAAUACAGAGGGUGCGAGCGUUAAUCGGAUUUACUGGGCGUAAAGCGUGCGUAGGCGGCUAAUUGAGUCGGAUGUGAAAUCCCCGAGCUUAACUUGGGAAUUGCAUUCGAUACUGGUUAGCUAGAGUGUGGGAGAGGAUGGUAGAAUUCCAGGUGUAGCGGUGAAAUGCGUAGAGAUCUGGAGGAAUACCGAUGGCGAAGGCAGCCAUCUGGCCUAAUACUGACGCUGAGGUACGAAAGCAUGGGGAGCAAACAGGAUUAGAUACCCCUGUAGUCCCUGUCUCUUAUAC